rnacentral:rRNA from 1 species
UACGUAGGGGGCAAGCGUUGUCCGGAAUCAUUGGGCGUAAAGAGCGUGUAGGCGGUCCGGUAAGUCGGUUGUGAAAGCCCAGGGCUCAACCCUGGGAUGCCGACCGAUACUGUCGGACUAGAGUUCGGAAGAGGCGAGUGGAAUUCCCGGUGUAGCGGUGAAAUGCGCAGAUAUCGGGAGGAACACCUAUGGCGAAGGCAGCUCGCUGGGACGUUACUGACGCUGAGGCACGAAGGUCAGGGGAGCAAACGGG